CUAAGACCAGGACAGUGCAAUUACUCUAAAUUGUUUCGAUGGCUCUAGAUAAUGACUUCCUGCCAACUCAGUGGCUCUAGAUAAUGUGUUCCUGUCAACCCAGCGGUCCCAGAUGAUGUGUUUCUGUCAACUCAGUGAUCUAGAGACCCCAAACUAUAAUUAACAUGCUUAAUUUCUGCUUCUGUAAACUACUUUUUUUGCGAACCAGGUUCCUCAUUCCAAACCCUGAGAUGUAAUCAAUACCUUUGUGAUUUUUUGCCUAUAUAACCCUGGAACUGUGACCAAAUAGGUGCUAUGAGAUUUGGGAAUGACCCCUCAUAGUCCCGGAUUGCAAUAAAUGUGACUCUUUAAUUCGA